rnacentral:Y_RNA from 1 species
GGCUGGUCCGAGUGCAGUGGUGUUUACAACUAAUUGAUCACAACCAGUUACAGAUUUCUUUGUUCCUUCUCCACUCCCACUGCUUCACUUGACUAGAAAA